CAGGAGGAUCUUGACUUUCUCAGCGAAUGGGCACAAAAUGGGAACUUGCCUUCAACGUUGACAAUUGCAAAGUUAUACAUUAUGGAAACAAUAACCCCAAUCAACAAUAUACUAUGAAUAAUAAGUCUCUGCAGGCUACAACUGAGGAAUGUGAUCUGGGAGUGCUCUUCGAAAGAGAUCUAAAAUUUAGUAAGCAUAUAUCUACAAAGAUAAAUAAAGCAAACAGUAUCCUAGCCUUAAUAAAGAGAUCUUUUGAGUUCAUGGACAAAUACUUAUUUUUGAAAUUAUAUACUGCCUUGGUGCGUCCGCAUGUUGAGUUUGCAAAUGUUAUAUGGUACCCAUAUUUAAAAAAGGACAUUAUUAGCAUAGAAAAAGUUAAAAAAAGAGCAACAAAACUUGUACCGAAUUUGAGGAAUUUAUCCUAUGAGGAACGACUUAAAGAACUAAAAUUACCAUCACUUGUUCAUCGCAGAAUUCGUGGGGAUGCCAUUCAAACAUUUAAAAUAGUCAAAAAUAUAGAUGAUUGCGUUUUUGAGAAUUUUUUCAAUUAUACAUCAUCAACUAGAGGACAUAACCUAAAGCUUGAGAAACCAAAGUCCAGAACAUCUUUUUGUCAAAAUCAAUUUUUCAGAAGAGUGAUUAACAUGUGGAAUGACUUGCAUCAAUGUGUAAUUGAUGCCAAGAAUGUAUUAGAAUUCAAGAGCAGGAUUGAUCUACAUUGGAAUGGGAACAUAGUGUAUAAGUUUUAGUGAUCACAACUGUUGUUUGUCAAAAGGACAUUCAUUCUUUACCAUAGUUAAGGAACUAUUAUUUACUGAAUAAGGGCUACUUUUAUUAGUCGUGAGAACACAUACGGAUACAGUACCAUAAGACGUCGAUAAGAAGAGGGGUUUAAAAAGGACUUGAGUCCUUACCACAGAGCCCAAAAUCAUCCUACAGGUAUCCUACAGGUUUUGGCAAAAGUGACACGAAAAGGUGCAGCGGAUAGAAAGACAACAUGGCCCGCUCAGACAGUGAUGGGUCACCAAGCUAUCGAUCCAGGAAAUACUGUCAAUCCUCUUUUGAUGAUUCCAACCAGAGGUCACCAAAAAGGAAACAUUCAAGGUCAUAUUCGUGGUCACCAGACAGAAAUGAUAAGAACUCAUCAAAUAGUGGUAAAAGAUUCAGAGACAGUACUUCUUCAGAUAGUAGAUCAAAGUCAAGGUCACCAAUUCGUCGUAGAAAAGAUUUUUCUGGAUCUUGUGAAAGAGACUCAAAACGCAUGGACAGAAACACUAAAAUCAGUGAUAGAUCGUAUUCAAGGUCCAAAAGUAGAUCACCUAUAGCCAGAAAUAGGUCACCUGUGCAAAGAACAAGGUCACCUGUUCAAAGAAAUAGGUCACCAGCUUGGAAUGACAGGAUGAAGUCACCAAUACAGAAAGGUCGUGAGUCAAAUGAAGAUCAGGUGUGGAGAAAAAAUAAUGAAAAUGGGUAUACUGGGAGACAUAAAGACAGAGAGUUACAGUAUGACGUUUUUGAAAGACGAAGGACAGACAGGGAGAGGAUUUGCGCACUGGGAGCCCCUGAAGUCUGGGGCAGAUCCCCAUCACCACAACACUCAGAAGUCUACGUGUGCAUAUGAUGGCUGUGUGGAAGGUCAUGUGUUUUACAUUUUAUUUCAAAGCAAGAUGUUUCCUUUUAUCUGAAUAUACAGUGCAAUAUUGUGACAAAAAAAAAACUUUGGGGAGCAUCACCCAUCACCGACGGUUUCUUGUUUUUUAAUGGUGUAACUUUUCAGGGCUUUUUCUCGAAUUCUAUACAGGAUUUUAACAUGAACCUUUAUGCGGAGAAUUACAAUUUAUAAAAGCAAUAACACUUCACUCUGUUAUUUUGCAUUUAUUGCCCUGUUAAUCCAUCUGCAACCAUGAAUAAACACAUUUUUCUCUGUGGGGAAUAUCAAUUCAACGAAUUUUUUUUUAGCUCAUCAAUUUUUUGAAGAAAAAAAGUUAUGUAACUCUGGCUGGCAUUUUGACAGAAUUAUGUGUCCUUUUUAUUACUGUCUUUGAAAAUUUGGUUAAGUUUUGUGUUUUGGUCCACUUUACUCCUAAAGUAUCAUAGAUAUUGCUUUCAUACUUGGAACACUCGCAAACUAGCAAAAGGGGACAGUUCAGGACAAGUUGAAUAGCUCUGGUUGUCAUUUUGACGGAAUUAUGGCCCUUUUUUGACUUAGUAACUUUCAAUAUAUGGUUAAAUUUUGUGUUUAGAUCCACUUUACUUUUAAAGUAUCAAGGCUAUUGCCCUCAAACUUCAAAUACUUUCAUGCUAUCAUGAGGGUACUGUACUGGCAAGUUGAAUUUUAGCUUGACCUUUGAAUGAUCUUGACUCUCAAGGUAAAAUUAUUAAAUUUUGCUAAAAUUGCCAUAACUUCUUUAUUUAUGAUCUGAUUUGAUUGAUACUUUGACAAAACAACUCGUACCUGACAAUCCACAAUAGACUCCACCCAAACCAUCCCCCACACCCCA